UACCCAUGACACUCAUGUACCUUUUCAAACUCCUGAGACUUGUUUCUAUGUGGGCCUUCACAGUUGCUGUGAAGGGUCAGUAUAUCACCCAGUAUCCUGCAGUGAUCAAGAGCAGGGUCAAUGAGACAGUGACCCUUAAUUGCCAGUUUGUUGGAAUGGACUCGGCUUGCUACGCGGUUUCAUGCAUGAAACUGCACCCCAAGAGUGGCACGCUGGAUUUCGAGCACGAUGUUCGAGUAUGGAAGGAUGUUGGGAAAACGUCCUGCAAAGCAAACAUCUCCAUCGCAACCCCAGAGGACUCUGGGACAUACCACUGUGCUGUUGUGGUCCUGCAACAAUUGUUCAUUGGCAACGGAACAACAAUUGUUGUUGAAAGCAAUGACAGUCCCUCGGUUGAAAUUGCAUUGACUGUCCGCCACCAAAACAAUUCGAUUGCAGUCCUUACUUGCUUGGUCACCGGGAUCCACCCGUCCCAAGCGCGUGUGUUCUGGGUCCUGGGCGAGGGGAGAGAGGAGGGUGGUCAGUCUGAGCCCGUCUGGACCAAUAGCAGUGCCCCAGCUACUGUAUUCACACGGAACCGAGUUUCUCUCCCGUUUGGAUUGGGAGAGACCUGCACUUGUGUCGUGGAAUAUGCAGGGAGGACACUCAGCCGAAGUCUCACCUUAACAGAUCCUCGAGGAAUAUGCUACACUAUUGCCAGUGUACCUAGAAUGCUGGCCAUUGCAUCAGCUCUUCUGCUGCAGUUAAUGGUGGUUGCCAUGACACUGUAUUUCAGGAAUAUUAAAACAGAGAACAGGCCUAACUGUAUAUCUAAGAGGCAAAUGGGAAAAAAUGGUGGAACGAUACACAGAACUGGACAAAGGAUGCACGUGUAAAAAAUUGUAAUAUUACAUGUGAAGUCUACAGCACACACCUAGCUGUCAUUAUUAUAGAGGUCAUUAUGAAAUUAUUCAAUUCAGUUUUAGUUAUAUAACGCCAAAACAAUAAAAUUGUCUCAAGGUGCUUUACA
rnacentral:lncRNA from 1 species